ensembl:lncRNA
GUAUUUACUUCUUAAGCCUUAUAAAUGUGCCUUUCCCUGGUAAGUAGAGAUUCAGUGAUGUGCUUUAUUGUUUUUUUCAGCUUUCCCAGCAGGAAGAUCGGCCUCUUUACAUGGGAAGACCUCUGGCUGUGGUGUUUGCAUUUCAGAGCCUUUCCACCUGUUUUUCAUAUGCUAUGUGAAACAGAUCAGCAACAUGAAACUAACUCUAGACACCAUAUGAGGUCAAGGAUCUUUGUACUCUCAGACUGGUAAAUGCUUUUGUAAAGCAUUUAAAAUCAAAAUACUCUGGACACAUAAAGGAAGCAGAUUUACAUCUUCCUGGAAAUAAGAGCAGAAGUGACCACUCACUGUUGCCAAGAAUGUUCUGCCUUUUUCAAAAGAACUUCUCAAGGAGGCCAGGUACUCUCAUUUGAGUCCUUCAGCACAAUGUUCUGCCUUUUUCAAAAGAACUUCUCAAAGAGCCCAGGUACUCUCAUUUGAGUCCUUCAGCAUGGAUUCCAUGUCCCAUACAAAUUUCCUAUCCUAUUUUAUGUGUGUCUGUUUCUGCUGUUCUUAUCCACUGCUGGCGCCUUCUUUAUCAUACAGUGUGUUAUUUUUUUUUAAAUUGUCAGACUGUGGGUAUAAGUUACCAUAGUAGAAUGAGCCUGAGCCAUUUAGGAAGUGCUUCUGUCUCUUCUGGCUCAUCUUUUUCCUUCCAUCCCAGCAAUGGCACACAGGAAGCAGGUAGGGCUAAAGGCAAGGAUAACAGCUGCCUCAACUGUGAAACACUGGUCUGUUUGUAUUCAUGAGUUAUACACCAGUUCAGUCAAGGAAAAGUUCCAAGUAAGUAUCACUAAAUAUUAAAAGGACAAUGGGAAAGUCUGGUUGAACCACUCAGAUGUCUCCAUCUGGAUGUCUCAGAAUUAUUCCUUUGCAGGUGAACCUAUUUGUAUGAGAAAUACCCUCAGGUCCUCGAGUUACGAAUUUUCUCAAGAUGUGUUAACUGUGAAUUUUCUGAGGAUUGCAAUCUUUCUUGAAAAGUUUAUAUGAAAGGUUUGGAUUUGUGUUUUUUCUGCAUCUACAGAAAUGUCAUAAUCUGUUCUAACAAAUCAGCUUCCUGGGAGCUUUACAGCUAUUCAGGUUAGUUUCAUGUAAGUCCUGAGGCAUAUUGCCAUCAGAUAAAUAAACCAACAAUACUGAAACAAGGCAUUUGAAUAUUGCACUUGGAAACAAAACAUUUUAUAUAUUGAAAUACGUAUGUAAUUUUAUUUAAUAGAACAUUAUUGUGAUUAUAGGUAAAGGUGUCCAAUAGGGUGAAACAAAGGCUUGAAAGUGUUUUUUAUUUAACUGUUUGCUUAUGGUGUGGUUGGUAUAAAUUGCUUUUGUUAGUUUAUUAACAAGGGUGGGGAGAGGCAAAGUACUGGGAGAUGAAUUUAAAUCCAGCUCAGGAGAAUUAGACACAAGAGAGCAACUCCAAGAUGUCUGGCACAUAUCAGCAUUUUAUUUGAUUGUAACAAAAAUUUUGCACAUGUAUUCAUAAAACACAUUUGCUUUCCUUUUAAGUUUCACAGUUUGUUCUUUUUGUUAAAACCUGUGGUAGGUCAGAAUUAGUGCUGGCAAUUUCCUUUGCUUAUGACCUCCAAUAUACUCUUAAAACCCAAGUAGAUGCCUUUUUAAAAAGGGGCUUGAGGCUCUUCUAAGCAGCAUUAAGAUGACACAGAGAUGACACAAGAAAAAACACUUCAAAUUCUUAAUACAAAUCUAUAUUUGUAAAAAAAUGCAGUGAUUACAGGAAUGUAAAAGAACCUAAAUCAGAUUUUUAAAAAACUAUUUAGUAUCACUCAGGGUUUUCUAGUCAAUGUUUCUCCAUUUUGACAGAGAGGAAGGAACAUGAUGAUCCCUUCUUUUAAGUAGGAUUUUGGAGUUGAUAAGCUGGUUGCUUGCUUUCUGUAUUUAAAGGUGGUAGAAGGACUUGUCAGUGAUCUUGGCAUGAGCCUCAGGGAUUUGUGCAUCUGGGACAUCUCUGUGUAAAGCAUUUGUGUUCUCAGACAUCUUGAAGGCAUUUUCAUACUACAGAGUUAUAUUCUUGGAGAUCUUCUGGCACUUAUGUCAGUUUAUCAUGAUCUGUACAGAAGUCUUAAGUUUUGAUUUUGGAAGUAUUUUCUUGAAAUAAGUAAAAAAUCAUGGACUGUAGCAGUGUAGGAACAAGCUCUAAGGAUUUCUCCCUCUGUGAUGGACACAGGGCUGUAUUCUCUAUCCCAUGCUUCUGAGCCCCAGUAAGUGUUCAUUUGAGUCCCACAAAGGCCCCCAGACUCAGAGCAAAGCAGGGACCAAAGGCAUCAAAGGCCUUUUUGUCAAAAUAAGGACAAUGCUAUAAACCAACCUUGUGUUAACCUAGUGAGGAACAGAGGACAAGAAUUCUGAAUGCCAAAAUACAGAGACAUGUGUGAAAGGGAAAACUUAUACAAAAGUAGGCAGGCUGAAUAAAACUAUUUAUCUUUAAGCCACACAAGUCAUGGUAAUUAAAUUAGGUCAGCCUGGCUAUAAAGCUACAAAAAGCAGGCUGUAACUAAUUUAGAAAGAGACAGAGAAGACCUGAAAAGAAAACAGAUUGACAGCCCCCUAUUACUUUUUAUCUAAUCAAGACAACAAAAUGUAAGAAAGGGAAAAAGAAAAAAAAAAAAGGAAAAUAUAAAGAAAUCUUAUGUUGAUUUAUUAAGGUUUUCUCUCAUAUCAUUAGGAUAGACAAAAGCACAUAGUCACAUUUUUGAUGUGUGAAAGUUUGCACAUUGUUCUUAGUGCUAGCUGAAGAUUACAUGCAUAUUUUAACCUUGAGAAAAACAGAAUAAUUGAAUACCCUAAAGAUCAGAAAGUGGUGGAAACUCAAGAAAGAAUAACACAAUCAGAUCUUUAUCAUUACAGUAUCAUUGCACUAAUUCUUUCUGGGCAUCCAUAUCAUCUGCUUCUAAGUGAAGAGAAAUCCUAAAUAUCUGUGAAAAGAGACAAAUAGACUUUUAUUUAAAACCAUUUUUUAGUAAAUUCCACCUGCCAGUUUGUAUAAACAUCCUUUUUUGAAAAUGAUUUCAAGUAUUUGCUUUGAAUUUGAAAGUGACAGGUUGUAUAGGGUAUAGGAAAUAACAUUUUUGAACUUUAGGAAGGGAAGGAUCAGGACUUUAUUUGUGGUGUGGAUCCAGUCUCAUUGAACAAGGUUUAAAAUAAUAUUUUAGUUGAUUUCUGUAAUAGUGUUCAUUAGAAAAAUUAGCAUUCUAAGACUGUCUGAAGGGUGAAGAGGAGUGUGUGAACAGAAAGGGGGAAGGGCACAGACAAAAAGCCCGGCUUGGUUUGUGUUGGUGUUUAAUAGCAAACAACCCUUUCUCACCCUGCUUCUCUUUUAUGCCUGUUGUAGUUUUAAGUAACUUCCGAAGGUUUUCCAGCAGCAGAUGACGCUCAGCUAUUACAUUCAUCUGAAAUAAGAGACGAACUUUGCCCUGUGAAGAAAAUAUUUGAGGUUUCAACACAAUUAAGGGUGGCAAAUUCUGUGUGAAAAUGGAAAUUCCUUCCCAUUUUUCCAAUAGGUCCCCGAGGGUGAAGUUUUGACCCCGGUGAAGUUAAUGGAACCUUCAUCCUCUUUCAUUAUGACGAGACAUCCCUCAUCACAUCUUGCACUUGCAACAAUGAAACGUGGAAAGCAAAGGAGAAACUGUUUCCUUGGGUAUUGCCAUGUGGUAACACCUUUUCCAGACAAUGACAGAGGCUUUGAGAGAUGAUCAGAAAAGAGACACAAAAAUGCAGGAAGUCAGAAGGGGAGCAGGCAGGGAAACAGCAACAUGGAGCAUUUCUCCUCUGCUGCAGGAAAAUAUGCGAGAGACAUCCCUCAUCACAUCUUGCACUUGCAACAAUGAAACGUGGAAAGGAAAGGAGAAACUGUUUCCUUGGGUAUUGCCAUGCGGUAACACCUUUUCCAGAC